CAUGCAAAAAAAAAAAAAAAGCUAACCAGCCGUCACUUUCUCCACUUCUUGCAUCUAACGGAAACUUUUCUCCUUCAUCUUCUUGGGCAUUUUCUCAACUACCAAACAGACAAAAUCUAAACCCCUUUCUUCGAACACACCACAAAACCUCACUCACUCACACAGAAAGAAGGAAAUCAUAGAAUGAAAAUCGUUGGCAAAUCAUUGGACUAUGAUUCGGAUUCCAUGACGUCAAAAGCGACAUUGGAGGGAUCCAAAACGUCGUGCUCUGAUUCAGACACUCAAAUCUGCUUACGAAUCUAAUGAGAAGAAUGCUAACAAAAAGCAAGGUGCUGGAGGUGGGAUUGUUGCUACUACAAGUGCUGUUGCUGAAACUGAAACAAUUGCAGGGGCUGGAGAAGCAAGGGUUGUUGGUGCAAGUUCUGGAGAUUCAAUGGUUGCUGCUACAAGUGUUGGAGAUUCAAUGGUUGCUGCAAGUUCUGGAGAUUCAACGGUUUCUGCUACAAGUGUUGGAGAUUCAACAGUUGGUGAUGGUACUAACAGUCAAUGUGUGGUGGUGCCGGAAAAGGCCAUUCAAAGGGUGCAGUCCAAGGAGAAGAAGAAGAAGAAGAAGAAACCUUAAUUUGAGCACAUAUAACUAGGCAUUAACAAUAAUAUGUUUUAUGUAAUCCACAUACAUUUGGUAGUGAUAAUUCUGGAGCUUUAAGUGAUA